GAUGAACGCUGGCAGCGUGCCUAAUACAUGCAAGUCGAACGGUAACAGGGAGCUUGCUCCGCUGACGAGUGGCGAACGGGUGAGUAAUGCGUCGGAACGUGCCGAGUAGUGGGGGAUAACGCAUCGAAAGGUGUGCUAAUACCGCAUACGUACUGAGGUAGAAAGUGGGGGACCUUCGGGCCUCACGCUAUUCGAGCGGCCGACGUCUGAUUAGCUAGUUGGUGAGGUAAAGGCUCACCAAGGCGACGAUCAGUAGCGGGUCUGAGAGGAUGAUCCGCCACACUGGGACUGAGACACGGCCCAGACUCCUACGGGAGGCAGCAGUGGGGAAUUUUGGACAAUGGGCGCAAGCCUGAUCCAGCCAUGCCGCGUGUCUGAAGAAGGCCUUCGGGUUGUAAAGGACUUUUGUCCGGGAGCAGAUACCCAGUGCUAAUAACGCUGGGGGCUGAGAGUACCGGAAGAAUAAGCACCGGCUAACUACGUGCCAGCCGCCGCCGUAACAC
rnacentral:rRNA from 1 species